rnacentral:rRNA from 1 species
AUUGAACGCUGGCGGCAGGCCUAACACAUGCAAGUCGAGCGGAUGAAGGGAGCUUGCUCCUGGAUUCAGCGGCGGACGGGUGAGUAAUGCCUAGGAAUCUGCCUGGUAGUGGGGGAUAACGUCCGGAAACGGGCGCUAAUACCGCAUACGUCCUGAGGGAGAAAGUGGGGGAUCUUCGGACAUCACGCUAUCAUAUGAGCCUAGGUCGGAUUAGCUAGUUGGUGGGUUAAAGGCCUACCAAGGCGACGAUCCGUAACUGGUCUGAGAGGAUGAUCAGUCACACUGGAACUGAGACACGGUCCAGACUCCUACGGGAGGCAGCAGUGGGGAAUAUUGGACAAUGGGCGAAAGCCUGAUCCAGCCAUGCCGCGUGUGUGAAGAAGGUCUUCGGAUUGGAAAGCACUUUUAGUUGGGAGGAAGGGCAGUAAGUUAAUACCUUGCUGUUUUGACGUUACCAACAGAAUAAGCACCGGCUAACUUCGUG